AGAGUUUGAUCCUGGCUCAGAUUGAACGCUGGCGGCAGGCCUAACACAUGCAAGUCGAGCGGAUGAAGGGAGCUUGCUCCUGGAUUCAGCGGCGGACGGGUGAGUAAUGCCUAGGAAUCUGCCUGGUAGUGGGGGAUAACGUUCCGAAAGGAACGCUAAUACCGCAUACGUCCUAC
rnacentral:rRNA from 1 species